CAGGCGAGCACCAAGCGAUAGAAGCGCAAAAAUUGCGAGUUGAAAUCACCGCUCGUCGCUUGGGCGACGGACCCGGUGCCCGGGUGACAGACGUUCGUAACUCAGGCAUCCAAAACUGGCGCCCAAGCCUUACAGAAGCCUCAAUUCACGCCCGGGAGAGCUCCCUACGACGCUUAAGCAAGAUUUGACGUGGAUCGAGCCCUGUUUCUGCUCUGAUUUGAUUCUUUUGGACCGGGC
rnacentral:lncRNA from 1 species